rnacentral:rRNA from 1 species
AGUGAACGCUGGCGGCGUGCUUAACACAUGCAAGUCGAACGAGAACGGAAUAUAGCUUGCUAUAUUUGUCAGCUAAGUGGCGCACGGGUGAGUAAUGUAUAGAUAACCUGCCCUUAAGAAAGGAAUAACAGUUGGAAACGACUGCUAAUGCCCUAUAUGCCUUUAAUACAUAAGUAUGCAAGGGAAACGCUUUAGUGCUUAAGGAUGGGUCUGUAUGGUAUCAGCUUGUUGGUGAGGUAAUGGCUCACCAAGGCUAUGACGCCUAACUGGUUUGAGAGGAUGAUCAGCCACACUGGAACUGAGACACGGUCCAGACUCCUACGGGAGGCAGCAGUGGGGAAUAUUGCACAAUGGACGAAAGUCUGAUGCAGCAACGCCGCGUGGAGGAUGACACGUUUCGGUGCGUAAUCUCCUUUUAUAUAGGAAGAUAAUGACGGUACUAUAUGAAUAAGCACCGGCUAACUCCGUGCCAGCCGCCGCUGUAA